rnacentral:rRNA from 1 species
AACGAACGCUGGCGGCAUGCCUAACACAUGCGAGUCGAACGAGACCUUCGGGUCUAGUGGCGCACGGGUGCGUAACGCGUGGGAACCUGCCCUUAGGUUCGGAAUAACUCCCCGAAAGGGGUGCUAAUACCGGAUAAUGUCUUCGGACCAAAGAUUUAUCGCCUUUGGAUGGGCCCGCGUUGGAUUAGCUAGUUGGUAGGGUAAAAGCCUACCAAGGCGACGAUCCAUAGCUGGUCUGAGAGGAUGAUCAGCCACACUGGGACUGAGACACGGCCCAGACUCCUACGGGAGGCAGCAGUGGGGAAUAUUGGACAAUGGGCGAAAGCCUGAUCCGGCAAUGCCGCGUGAGUGAUGAAGGCCUUAGGGUUGUAAAGCUCUUUUACCCGGGAUGAUAAUGACAGUACCGGGAGAAUAAGCUCCGGCUAACUCCGUG